ACUGUCCACAUCGUGGUUGUUCUUCUUAUCUGCUACAUCAAUGCCCUUGAUCGGCCCGCACUCAGCCCUUUCUUAUUUCACCUCAUGUGAGCCACAUGUGAUUGAGGAAAGGAUAAAAAUCCACAUUCACACGACGCGUGAGUCACACUGGCGUCGCCUCCUCCCACUUUUCUGAUAAAUGAAUAGGUGUGACCUCAACCACCGCUGACUGCUGAUAGCAACCAUCUCAGGUUUACCUGCAACGAAAUCGAUGGCGAAUUUAAGCCCUAGGUUCUUGUUCAGGAACGGCGUCGUUUCACAGCCCGCCAACGCCCCUCCGAUCACAAGCUUCCUCGCAACACCCACCCAGGUGGGUUCAAGGCUAAAAUUCAUAGGUUUGUUCAGUACUUGAACCUUUUUGGAGUUGCUAUUGGCCAUGGGUAAGUGUGAGUGUUUAAACCUGGAUUGUGAUUAAAUAGGGAAAUAAAGAGGUCUAACUGUUUCUACAAGAAUGGUGGCACAACACCAUGCCAUGUAAACAGCAACCCUUAUAUGAUGGCUUUUGGCAUGGCAAAUUAUCUUCUCUAAUAUUCCAAACUUUCAGUUGUGGUGGCUCUCCGUUGUUGCUGCAGUCAUGUCCUUCACUUUACUCCUCAAUUGCCGAAGUUGCAGAAAUUGGUAGUAUCAAGGGAAGUAUGACUUGGAUAUGCAUUGGAACUGUGACACAAAUCCAAAAGAUUUGUAGGAGCUUCCAAGCGCUUGGUGACAAACCUUUUGCCUACUCUUACUCUCUGAAACUCAGAGCUGGUGCUUUCUUAGCUCUAGGAUAUGAAUACCAUUAUUAUUAUUAACAUUGCUAUAACAUUUGUGCAAUUGCAUACAGUUUAU